rnacentral:rRNA from 1 species
AGAGUUUGAUCCUGGCUCAGGAUGAACGCUGGCGGCGUGCUUAACACAUGCAAGUCGAGCGAAGCAGUUAAGUUGAUUUCUUCGGAUUGAUUCUUAACUGACUGAGCGGCGGACGGGUGAGUAACGCGUGGGUGACCUGCCCCAUACCGGGGGAUAACAGCUGGAAACGGCUGCUAAUACCGCAUAAGCGCACAGAGCUGCAUGGCUCGGUGUGAAAAACUCCGGUGGUAUGGGAUGGGCCCGCGUCUGAUUAGGCAGUUGGCGGGGUAACGGCCCACCAAACCGACGAUCAGUAGCCGGCCUGAGAGGGCGACCGGCCACAUUGGGACUGAGACACGGCCCAAACUCCUACGGGAGGCAGCAGUGGGGAAUAUUGCACAAUGGGGGAAACCCUGAUGCAGCGACGCCGCGUGAGCGAAGAAGUAUUUCGGUAUGUAAAGCUCUAUCAGCAGGGAAGAUAAUGACGGUACCUGACUAAGAAGCCCCGGCUAACUACGUGCCAGCAGCCGCGGUAAUACGUAGGGGGCAAGCGUUAUCCGGAUUUACUGGGUGUAAAGGGAGCGUAGACGGCAAGGCAAGUCUGAUGUGAAAACCCAGGGCUUAACCCUGGGACUGCAUUGGAAACUGUCUGGCUCGAGUGCCGGAGAGGUAAGCGGAAUUCCUAGUGUAGCGGUGAAAUGCGUAGAUAUUAGGAAGAACACCAGUGGCGAAGGCGGCCUACUGGGCACCAACUGACGCUGAGGCUCGAAAGUGUGGGUAGCAAACAGGAUUAGAUACCCUGGUAGUCCACACUGUAAACGAUGAUUACUAGGUGUUGGAGGAUUGACCCCUUCAGUGCCGCAGUUAACACAAUAAGUAAUCCACCUGGGGAGUACGACCGCAAGGUUGAAACUCAAAGGAAUUGACGGGGGCCCGCACAAGCAGUGGAGUAUGUGGUUUAAUUCGACGCAACGCGAAGAACCUUACCAAGUCUUGACAUCCUGCGACGGUUCUGGAAACAGAACUUUCCUUCGGGACGCAGAGACAGGUGGUGCAUGGUUGUCGUCAGCUCGUGUCGUGAGAUGUUGGGUUAAGUCCCGCAACGAGCGCAACCCUUAUGGUCAGUUACUACGCAAGAGGACUCUGGCCAGACUGCCGUUGACAAAACGGAGGAAGGUGGGGAUGACGUCAAAUCAUCAUGCCCUUUAUGACUUGGGCUACACACGUACUACAAUGGCGUUAAACAAAGAGAAGCAAGACCGCGAGGUGGAGCAAAACUCAGAAACAACGUCCCAGUUCGGACUGCAGGCUGCAACUCGCCUGCACGAAGUCGGAAUUGCUAGUAAUCGCAGAUCAGCAUGCUGCGGUGAAUAAGUUCCCGGGCCUUGCACACACCGCCCGUCA